AUACGGAGGGUGCAAGCGUUACUCGGAAUCACUGGGCGUAAAGCGCGCGCAGGCGGUCUUUUAAGUUGGAUGUGAAAGCCUACGGCUCAACCGUAGAACUGCAUCCAAAACUAUUAGACUAGAGUGUGGGAGAGGAAGAUGGAAUUAGUUGUGUAGGGGUAAAAUCCGUAGAGAUAACUAGGUAUACCAAAAGCGAAGGCAAUCUUCUGGAACACUACUGACGCUGAGGCGCGAAAGCGUGGGGAGCAAACAGGAUUAGAAACCCCAGUAGUCC
rnacentral:rRNA from 1 species